UACGUAGGGUGCAAGCGUUGUCCGGAAUUAUUGGGCGUAAAGAGCUCGUAGGCGGCCUGUUGCGUCCGCUGUGAAAGCCCGGGGCUUAACCCCGGGUCGCAGUGGAUACGGGCAGGCUAGAGGUAGGUAGGGGAGAAUGGAAUUCCCGGUGUAGCGGUGAAAUGCGCAGAUAUCGGGAGGAACACCGGUGGCGAAGGCGGUUCUCUGGGCCUUACCUGACGCUGAGGAGCGAAAGCGUGGGGAGCGAACAGG
rnacentral:rRNA from 1 species